GGGGACGUAGCUCAGUUUGGUUAGAGCGCGUGCCUGUCACGCACGAGGUCGCGGGUUCGAGCCCCGUCGUCCCCGCCA
rnacentral:tRNA from 1 species